rnacentral:rRNA from 1 species
UCACGAAGGCCCCACUGUCUUAAGAGGACUCUCCAUGAAAUUGAAUUCGUAGUGAAGAUGCUACGUCCAUAUUGUAAGACGAAAAGACCCCAUUGAGCUUUACUAAAGACUUGCAUGGCUCAAAAUAAUUUAAAUAAAGAGUUUAGAUAAUGUGGGAUCCGUUUCCGGCUAAUGAAACACCACUCUUUUAUUUUAAGAGAGCUAACAUCGCAGGGAUAAUGUAAGUUGGAUAGUUUGGUUGGGGCGACCACCUUUUAAAAGGUAACGAAGGUGAGCUUAAGGUCCGUAGUUAAUAGCCGGUGGCCUGACUGCAAGGGGGACGUCUCGAGCAGACACGUCCUCAGGGUCGACCCUUAGGGCCGUCCUUAGGGAUGUGGGCUAUA